rnacentral:tRNA from 1 species
GCCAUCGUGGUGUAAUGGUCAGCACACUCGGCGCGUAUGCGAGAAGUCCGAGGUUCGAAUCCUCGCGAAGGCA